rnacentral:siRNA from 1 species
GCACGUGUCGUUGGCUAAGUCCGU